rnacentral:rRNA from 1 species
UACAGAGGUGCCAAGCGUUAGGCGGAAUCACUGGGCUUAAAGCGCGUGUAGGUGGGUCGUUAAGUGUCCGCGUGAAAUCCCACGGCUCAACCGUGGAACUGCCGGGCAUACUGGCGAUCUUGAGGCAUUCAGGGGCGAGCGGAACAAAUGGUGGAGCGGUGAAAUGCGUAGAUAUCUGGAGGAACACCGGUGGCGAAGGCGGCAUCCUGGACCGACACUGACGCUGAGGAGCGAAAGCCAGGGGAGCAAACGGG